CCUACGGGAGGCAGCAGUGGGGAAUAUUGGACAAUGGGGGGAACCCUGAUCCAGCGACGCCGCGUGAGUGAAGAAGUAUUUCGGUAUGUAAAGCUCUAUCAGCAGGGAAGAAAGAAAUGACGGUACCUGACUAAGAAGCCCCGGCUAACUACGUGCCAGCAGCCGCGGUAAUACGUAGGGGGCAAGCGUUAUCCGGAUUAACUGGGUGAAAAGGGAGCGUAGACGGCGAUGCAAGUCGGAAGUGAACGGCGGGGGCCCAACCCCCGGACUGCUUGGAAACUGUAUGGCUGGAGUGCAGGAGAGGUAAGUGGAAUUCCUAGUGUAGCGGUGAAAUGCGUAGAUAUUAGGAGGAACACCAGUGGCGAAGGCGGCUUACUGGACUGUAACUGACGUUGAGGCUCGAAAGCGUGGGGAGCAAACAGGAUUAGAUACCCGAGUAGUC
rnacentral:rRNA from 1 species